rnacentral:rRNA from 1 species
UACGUAGGGUGCAGGCGUUAAUCGGAAUUACUGGGCGUAAAGCGUGCGCAGGCGGUUUCUUAAGUCAGAUGUGAAAGCCCCGGGCUUAACCUGGGAACUGCGUUUGAAACUGGGAGACUUGAGUGUGGCAGAGGGGGGUGGAAUUCCACGUGUAGCAGUGAAAUGCGUAGAUAUGCGGAGGAACCCCGAUGGCGAAGGCAGUCCCCUGGGCCUGUACUGACGCUCAUGCACGAAAUCGUGGGGAGCAAACAGG